AAUCAUCGAAUCUUUGAACGCACCUUGCGCUCCUUGGUAUUCCGAGGAGCAUGCCUGUUUGAGUGUCAUUAAAUUCUCAACCUCACCAACUUUGUUGUGUGCAGGCUUGGAUGUGGGGGUUGCAGGUCCACUCUCGUGGUCUGCUCCUCUGAAAUGUAUUAGUGGGUUGUGCCCCUAAUCUAUUGGUGUGAUAAUUAUCUACGCCGUGGAUUGGGUUGGUUACUUGAAGACCUGCUUCUAACCGUCCCUUGGACAACUUUUGACAAUUUUGACCUCAAAUCAGGCAAGACUACCCGCUGAACUUAAGCAUAUCAAUAAGCGGAGGA
rnacentral:rRNA from 1 species